UGGGCAUAACGGGAUGAAAUAAACGUUUUGGUCUCCGUAUUCUAAAGACAUAUGUCGCAUAGUUUCUAUAUUGUCAAUUUUUUUUUUUUACUUUUUAAAAUUAACUUAGAUAAAUCUCAGAUCCUGCCCAUGAUAUGGACACAACUUGUUGGGUAAACAAUGGGACACGGAUGGACGAGUAUACAUUAUUCAUAGAUCAAUGUUUGUGGUCGACUAAGACAAGUCUUCACUUCAAUGUAUGGUUUUACUUUUCUAAGUUGAACUGACGAGUAAAACCAAAAGAAGAGGGAGCUCUGUUUUGUUUCCGGAAGAGGAGGAAUAUAUAUUCGAAGAUAAAUAAAUGGAACACAUUAUGUGUGUAAUGAACUAAAUAUCUACGUGUGUUGUGUGCAUGAAUAGGAUAAACCUAUGAAAAUGCGGAAGCCAAGUGUUGGAAUCAAAUAAAUGGCACGCAUAACCUAACUGAGCUAGUAUAAAUGUGGAGCUCCAAAUCAAUGCACCUGACCUUCGCAACUACUUUCUUGAUCAAUGAGUCUCUCUGCU
rnacentral:lncRNA from 1 species